AUUGAACGCUGGCGGCGUGCUUAACACAUGCAAGUCGAGCGGUAACGCGGGGGCAACCCUGGCGACGAGCGGCGAACGGGUGCGUAAUGCAUGGGAAUCUGCCUGAUAGUGGGGAAUAACCCGGGGAAACUCGGGCUAAUGCCGCAUACGACCUACGGGUGAAAGCGGGGGACCGUAAGGCCUCGCGCUAUCGGAUGAGCCCAUGUCGGAUUAGCUAGUUGGUAGGGUAACGGCCUACCAAGGCUACGAUCCGUAGCUGGUCUGAGAGGACGGCCAGCCACACUGGGACUGAGACACGGCCCAGACUCCUACGGGAGGCGGCAGUGGGGGAAUAUUGGACAAUGGGGGGAAACCCUGAUCCAGCGACGCCGCGUGUGUGAAGAAGGCCUGCGGGUUGUAAAGCACUUUCGGUGGGAACGAAAUAUGCCGGGCCAAUACCCCGGCAGGCUGACGUUACCCAAUGAAGAAGCACCGGCUAACUCUGUGCCAGCAGCCGCGGUAAU
rnacentral:rRNA from 1 species